UUUGCUCUUGGGGUGCUGCCUAUGAGCUCUCGGCAGCGGCAGCAACCAGGAAGAUCUGCGCCGCCCUUUCCGGGAGCCUCCGUGCACCAGGGUUCCAGAUGGCGUUUGGUGUUUUCCUCUGGCGUCAGAGAUGUGUGCAGAGUGCAGUCUCUUCUGGUUUCCCAGGCGUGUCUGCCUCUCUGAAGGUUUAGCUCUCACUCUCACGUGAUUUGGGUGCAGAGAACUGUUUAUCGGGUCUGUCCCUUCAGGUUCCGGCGGUGUCUCAGGCGCAGGGGUCCUGCCGCUCCUGGGCCCUCUCCCACAGGAACCCAGAGGCUGUAUACAGUUUCCUCUUGGGCCAGGGAUGUGGGCAGGGGUGGGCAGUGUUGGUGGUCUCUUCUGCUCUGCAGCCUCAGGAGUGCCCACCUGACUAGGCAGUGACGUCUCUCUCUCACGGGGUCUGGGAGCAGAGAGCUGCUGCGGGCCAGGGUCUGCGGGUCUCUUACUGCAGUGUUAAAGGCAUAGGACAAUAGACCCAGCG
rnacentral:lncRNA from 1 species